CAGAGAUGCUCUUCUGCCUACCUUGGUUGUAACGGGUGGUUAUUUGAGUCACUGUUGCCUUUCUAUCAGCUCGAACCAGUCUGGCCAUUCUCCUCUGACCUCUGGCAUCAACAAGGCAUUUCCGCCCACAGAACUGCCGCUCACUGGAUAUUUUUUCUUUUUCGGACCAUUCUCUGUAAACCCUAGAGAUGGUUGUGCGUGAAAAUCCCAGUAGAUCAGCAGUUUCUAAAAUACUCAGACCAGCCCUUCUGGCACCAACAACCAUGCCACGUUCAAAGUCACUCAAAUCACCUUUCUUCCCCAUACUGAUGCUCGGUUUGAACUGCAGGAGAUUGUCUUGACCAUGUCUACAUGCCUAAAUGCACUAAGUUGCCGCCAUGUGAUUGGCUGAUUAGAAAUUAAGUGUUAACAAGCAGUUGGACAGGUAUACCUAAUAAAGUGGCCGGUGAGUGUAUAUAUAUAUAUAUAUAUAUACAUAUAUAUAUAUAUAUACAUAUAUACGUAUAUAUAUAUAUAUAUAUAUAUAUAUAUAUAUAUAUAUAUAUAUAAAUAUAAUGUAUAUUUAUAUACUGUGUGUGUAUAUAUCUGCAGUAUAUAUAAUUGCUCAGUAUACAUAUACUGUAUAUUUGUGUAUAUAUAUAUUAUAUAUAAUUUUAUAUUUAUAAUUAAUGAUUAUAUGUAUAUAUUAUAGAAAUACAUAAUAUAUAUAAACACUAUAUUUAGACUAUAUUUAUAAUGUUUAUUACAUACUGUCUGUAUUUACAUAUACUGUAUAUAUAUUUGCAGUAUAUCUUAAUACUCAGUAUACAUUUACUGUACAUAUAUGUACAAAUAUAUACAUAUAUAUAUUGUUUUAAUUGCAUCAAUUCAUGAAAAUUUCAUCUCAAAUCAAAACAGUAAAAAAUCUCUCAGCCAAUCAAAAAGCUUGUAUUUGAUGUAAUAAGUCCACAGAUAAAGAUAAUAAUACUAUAAAAAAGAAUCAUGAUGAUGAUAAUCAAUAUAAUCAUUAUUAUUAUUACCGUUAUAAUAAUAUAAACAAUAUUUAUGUUGAUAAUAAUAAUAAUAAUUAUAAUAAUAAUAAUAAUUAAUAUUGCUGUUAUAAUAAAUGUGAUAAUGAUGAUAAUAAUAAUCAGAAUUAUAAUAGUAAUAAUAAUAAAUGUGAUCAUGAUGAUAAUAAUAAUCAUUAUAAUAAUAAUAAAUGUGAUCAUGAUGAUAAUAAUAAUCAUAAUAAUAAUAAAUGUGAUCAUGAUGAUAAUAAUAAUAAUAAUAAUCAUAAUAAUAAUAAAUGUGAUAAUGAUGAUGAUAAUAAUAAUAAUAAUAAUAAUAAUAAUAAAUGUUAUAAUGAUGAUAAUAAACUUGUUGUCGUGUGGAACUGCAGUAAAGAGAACAGGAACAGUUUCAGACUCCUGAGGCGGUCGGCCAUCUUUCCCUCUCAGAGGUAAAUCCUGCAGGUGUGCCGACAGGUGAGCCGGUUUUUAUUGGUGCACAGUUGGUCGUAAGCAGACGUUGAAAUCUGAGCGCGUGCAGAGAGGACAGUAGGACUGGUCACAUGACAGAAGUCCUCAGAGGCUCAGGUGGAUUUACAGCCGCUCACCUGGACGUGGCGUCCAUUAAAACGCUGAACGCUCUCGGAGCUGCAGCAGGAUUUAUGAAAGGAAACGGCUGCGCUGAGCUGUUUCUGUUUUAUUGUAUUUUCCAGAGGAAAGUGUCACGUUCCUGCGCUGGCUGGGAAAAACUGGACACAGGAAGCCGAUGACAACAUCUGGAUGUGAUUUCAGAGAGACGGCAGGAAAAUGAAAAGUGAAGCAGCGACAGAAACAACCGCAGCUGGAUGUUUGAGUGUGAGACACAAACUAAAAUAAAUCUGAACAGCAGGGUCACGACCCCCCACAAACCCUGAUAAAGUACUUCCCUGCAGCUCGGAGGCUCCUCACAAAACCAGACUCUGAAACUCUUUAGUUCUGCUGCUUUCAUCGGGACCAAAACAGUCAGAACACAGAGUAAAACCAGGAUGAAGAAAACGUAUCCACAGGGACGACCUUUGACCUCCAUCUUCCUUGAACCUACGCUGGUAUGAUGUCAUGGGUUCGAUCUGAUCAGAUCAUGUCUGUGAUCAGAAGACGCAGAAAAACCUGUCCACCUGUCCUUCCGCUGUCCUCACAUGACCCGCCUCUAAACUUAGACUAAAGGAGGUCUGUCGCUGCCUGAUCCGUCACGGGAACACGGUUCGUACUGCACAUGUGCGAAAUGUACGUCACUUCCUCUGCGAGUCGUCUCUGCGAACACUCAGCAGUUCUUCGACCCUCGUGGUUUUCAGCUUCGACACGUGUUCGACCGCUUCAGCGUCAGCGAGCUCACUUCAGUUUAUAACAGUUCUUCCUCCGACUGAAGCAGAGCGCCAGAGAGUCCAGAGAAUGGCGCCCAGUUUCCCGAUUAAAGGUUCUCCAGCUAAAACGUAAAAUCGUAACGUAGUUCUAAAAGGUUUAAAUGAAUAUUUCAGAGUUGAAAUUGAAACUCUGAAUAAAAACGCUGAAGUUCAUCGUCCAUAAUGUGUCGUCGUCUUGUUAAUUAAUUUAAUUAUAAAAUAAAUGAAAUAAACCCCGCCUCCACACUUUGAAAAGUCAGAGAACCAUCAUUUUGACCAGGUGGUGGCGCUCUCUGUGGUCUCACCGUUCGGGCGAAUGAAGCUCGCCGGUCACAUCACCAGAUUGUUUCUGAAUCGAUCGUAAAAUAUAUUGAAAUGCCAAGAGAGGAAGUGACGAACGUUUCGCACAUGCUCAGUACACAUCGGGAGAGGAGGGGGAGGAGCUUAACAGCACGGCUGUGUCUUUGAUAGAGCUGCUGGGUGGGCGUGUCCUGUAGGAUUGUCCUGAUUGGACAGCAGAAGCUCAGGUUUUGUGUCCUCAGAUGUUCAGGGUUCCUGAAAACCUGUCGGGGUAUAAAGGUCGUUUCACAAACGAGCGUUUCUCUUCCUGCGAUUUUUUCAGACGUCAAUAUUUGUUUCGAACCCGUAUCCCGUCAAUACAAGCGUCACAUCAGCGACGUUUUCCCAGCAUUCUUUUCUCGCUUCCACCCGGGACGCGUCUUUAUCCCCCCAGAAAGUCGCAGAAUCACAUCAGGCUUGAUGUGUUCAGUCAGGCGCGUCAAAUAUUUCGUAGUUUCAUGUCGUAAAUUUCCGACGUUCCCGGAGUGCGAGGACCUUCAGCCUCCAUGAGUCUGAGGUUCGACCCUGUCAGGUAUCCUGGUCCGGAUCAUUCAGCAGGUCCUCUGAGGGGGUCUGGUGUGACUCUAGUAGGACUGGUUUUAGGGUCUUUGAAGGGUCCAUUCAGGACGUCUGAGUGAAGAGAAAUCCCUGAUAGACGGACGCAGUGGCGGCGGCGUUUCCUCCUCCCGGGCUGUUUUCACUCGCUGCCUUUUUAAGCGAGUUUGUUUGGCGGUUUGGUCUCUUAAAGUAAACGUCCGCGAGCGUUUCUAAAUAUUUGUCUGCAGUAAUAACAGGCUGAAGUGUGAAAGUCAUUAAAAAGCCAUUCUGACUUAAUCACACGAACACGUCCGACUCUUUAAUUUCCCGUCUGAAACAUAAUUAGCAGAAACCUUUGCUGCCCUCCUUUGUCUGAGCUCGCCUGGAGAUGAAAAGCGGCGCUCGCACACGGAGACGAGAGGAAAAAAGAGAAGGAGGAGAAAACGAGCAGCUGAUGGAGGUUAACAGGUUUCCAGCGAGCGUGUUGUCGUUUUCCUGUCCGUGUUUCAUCAUCGUGUUCAGCUUUAAUAUCCACCGUCACCGGGGAGCGGCGCCAAUAUGUACCAUCAUCGUCUGAGGCGAUGAAGAAAUGAAGAACACAAUAACAUCAAAGAAAACAAAACGACGGCGUCGCUGUAAAGGCGGGAAAAAUGACACUUUACAGGAAAAACAGCCGCCGUCAUUUCCAUACGAGACGUCGAACCUUCAAAUAAACCCCCGAGGUGUUCGGGGGUCCCCCCAGAGAGAGAGAGAG